UCUUCUGGAGCAGAUUGCAUUCAAAGUGUUCAGCCUUUUGAGUGAGGGCUGUCAGUAUGGUUCUUCAAUGCAUUCCCUUAUUCUAAUCAAUAGCUUGUUUGUGAUUUACUCUACUUGGAUAUUGGGAAGGCCGAGUAAAGUGAAACUGAUAAAUGUAAGCACUCGUAUCUCGAUCAGGUAUAUAGAUGAGUGAUGCAAUGUAUAUUGUAUAUUAAAGUCUACGUUCUUAGUUAAGAUGUUCUCAUCUUUAAA